rnacentral:rRNA from 1 species
AACGAACGCUGGCGGCAUGCCUAACACAUGCAAGUCGAACGAGCCCUUCGGGUCUAGUGGCGCACGGGUGCGUAACGCGUGGGAACCUGCCCUUAGGUUCGGAAUAACUCCCCGAAAGGGGUGCUAAUACCGGAUAAUGUCUUCGGACCAAAGAUUUAUCGCCUUUGGAUGGGCCCGCGUUGGAUUAGCUAGUUGGUAGGGUAAAAGCCUACCAAGGCGACGAUCCAUAGCUGGUCUGAGAGGAUGAUCAGCCACACUGGGACUGAGACACGGCCCAGACUCCUACGGGAGGCAGCAGUGGGGAAUAUUGGACAAUGGGCGAAAGCCUGAUCCAGCAAUGCCGCGUGAGUGAUGAAGGCCUUAGGGUUGUAAAGCUCUUUUACCCGGGAUGAUAAUGACAGUACCGGGAGAAUAAGCUCCGGCUAACCCCGUG